UAUUGGAGGCAUUGCCUGCCCAGUGACAACUGUUUAACGGCCGCGGUAUCCUGACCGUGCAAAGGUAGCAUAAUCAUUUGUUCUCUAAAUAAGGACUUGUAUGAAUGGCCACACGAGGGUUUUACUGUCUCUUACUUCCAAUCCGUGAAAUUGACCUUCCCGUGAAGAGGCGGGAAUACACAAAUAAGACGAGAAGACCCUAUGGAGCUUUAACUAACCAGCCCAAAGAAAAUAAACUUAACCAUUAAGGAGUAACAAUAAUCUCCAUGAGUUGGUAGUUUCGGUUGGGGUGACCUCGGAGAAUAAAAAAUCCUCCGAACGAUUUUAAAGACUAGACCCACAAGUCAAAUCAUUCAAUCGCUCAUUGAUCCAAAAACUUGAUCAACGGAACAAGUUACCCUAGGGAUAACAGCGCAAUCCUAUUCAAGAGUCCAUAUCGACAAUAGGGCUUACGACCUCGAUGUUGGAUCAGGACAUCCUGAUGGUGCAACCGCUAUCAAAGGUUCGUUUGUUCAACGAUUAAAGUCCUA
rnacentral:rRNA from 1 species